rnacentral:lncRNA from 1 species
GAAAUACUUCUUUCAUUUCUUGCAUGAUGGUGUCAAGACAACACUGUCCUAAUUGCACCUAUACUGUUCACUGCAGUAUGUUGGAGCACACAAUGCCAUGGAGAACCACAGUGUCUUGGAUCAACUUUUGUUAUGGAAAUAUUUCCAAACUGUUGUCAUUUCUGUAUUGGUCACAACACUGGCCAGGAAACAGGGGAAGAAGAACCAACUUUUUAUAAAGUUUUUGCCAACUCCACUCCAGGGCAAUGGCUAUUCUUCCCAUUUCAGGAAGAACACCCUUUUCCAGAUGACUCCUAAUAUUCUUCUUUCUUCAACUCAGGAACUAAUUUGCCAUAUCUAAGAAUAUAAAAAGCAGUGCAUUCAGAUGUUCAAAACACUGGCCCAGAUGGCUGGCAAUUUCAUUUUUUUCAACUUAUGAUAAUGGAUUAAAUCAUAAAAAAGAGCCAUAUUACAUCUGUGGAGAUUGAGUAGGAUGAUUUGUACUAAAUGGAUUUUUUUAUAUGGGAUAAUUUUUUUUUCCAAAGUUCAAUAAGAGUCAAGAUUAUAUCUCUAUGUGUUUUGGAGCCAAAAAGUAUAAGUAAAGGAGAAACACAGCUGUAUGAGGAAGUUGCUGAAUAAUUGCAUGUUUGCACUAUUUGCUCAAUGGUAUAGCUGAUGAAUGUUUAUGAGUUUUCCUGUAAAGUAUAACAUAAAUAGAGCAGCAUGAAUAAGGAUGUUUCAUGUGAUGUGGUGGUCAUCAGAAAGAGCAGGAGGGGUCAAACCAGAAGGAAGAGAUGUCCUUGUUUUGGGAGCAUGGGAGUGUGUGGGGAUGUAAGGAUGACAGGAAGGUUAGGUGAAUUGGGCAGUGAAUUUUAAAAAAAC